CCUGGAAUGUACCCGUGCUU
rnacentral:misc_RNA from 1 species